rnacentral:rRNA from 1 species
AUUGAACGCUGGCGGCAGGCCUAACACAUGCAAGUCGAACGAGUGGCGGACGGGCGAGUAAUGUCUGGGAAACUGCCCGAUGGAGGGGGAUAACUACUGGAAACGGUAGCUAAUACCGCAUACCAUCGGAUGUGCCCUGAUGGGAUUAGCUAGUAGGUGGGGUAACGGCUCACCAAGGCGACGAUCCCUAGCUGGUCUGAGAGGGUGACCAGCCACACUGGAACUGAGACACGGUCCAGAGUCCUACGGGAGGCAGCAGUGGGGAAUAUUGCGCAAUGGGCGAAAGCCUGACGGAGCCAUGCCGCGUGAGUGAAGAAGGCGUUCGGGUUGUAAAGUACUUUCAGCGAGGAGGCGGUACUCGAAGAAGAAGCAACGGCUAACUACGUGCCAGCCGCCGCGGUAAUUC